rnacentral:rRNA from 1 species
UACGAAGGGUGCAAACGUUGCUCGGAAUCAUUGGGCGUAAAGCGCACGUAGGCGGCAUUCUAAGUCGGAUGUGAAAUCCCUCGGCUCAACCGAGGACGUGCAUCCGAAACUGGAACGCUCGAGUAUGGAAGAGGGUCGCGGAAUUCUCGGUGUAGAGGUGAAAUUCGUAGAUAUCGGGAGGAACACCAGUGGCGAAGGCGGCGACCUGGGCCAAUACUGACGCUGAGGUGCGAAAGCGUGGGGAGCAAAC